UGGGCCUGUAGAAACUACAUGACAUGUAGCUGGACCUGUAGAAACUCGAUGUCAUGUAGCUGGACCUGUAGAAACUCGAUGUCAUGUAGCUGGACCUGUAGA